UACGGAGGGUGCAAGCGUUGCUCGGAAUUAUUGGGCGUAAAGCGCACGCAGGCGGCAAGGUAAGUCAGUUGUGAAAUUCCCGAGCUUAACUUGGGGGCUGCAGCUGAUACUGCCCUGCUUGAGUACGGAAGAGGGGAGUGGAAUUCCCAGUGUAGAGGUGAAAUUCGUAGAUAUUGGGAGGAACACCGGUGGCGAAGGCGGCUCCCUGGUCCGAUACUGACGCUCAUGUGCGAAAGCGUGGGGAGCAAACAGG
rnacentral:rRNA from 1 species